ACACCCAUGAUGAUUAGCUUUAUGUUGGAAUUACCGUCUGAUAUCAGAUGACGAUAUUUCAGCUCUUCUGAGGCUUGAA
rfam:Triticum aestivum genome assembly, contig: Triticum_aestivum_CS42_TGACv1_scaffold_528969_6DL